CCUCGAUAAAGGCAAACCUGCUGAAAAGCAGGGACGCAAAGUAACGGGUCUAAUGAAUUGUUUUUAAAAGAAAUAAUUCGAUGACAGCCGGACUGCCUGG
rnacentral:ncRNA from 1 species